AGCUGGUCCGGGUGCAGUGGUGUUACAACUAAUGGAUCACAACCAGUCACGGAUUUCUUUGUUCCAUCUCCAUUCCCACUUCUUCACUUGACUAGCCUUAA
ensembl:misc_RNA Y_RNA Y RNA